UACAGAGGGGGGCAAGCGUUAUUCGGAAUUAUUGGGCGUAAAGGGCGCGUAGGCGCCUGGCAAGUGGAAGGUGAAAUCCCUCGGCUUAACCGAGGAACUGCCCUCCAAACUGCUUGGCUUGAGUCCGGGAGAGGUGAGUGGAAUUCCCAGUCUAGCGGUGAAAUGCGUAGAUAUUGGGAGGAACACCAGUGGCGAAGGCGGCUCACUGGACCGGAACUGACGCUGAGGCGCGAAAGCUAGGGUAGCAAACGG
rnacentral:rRNA from 1 species